GGGAGAUUUAGGAUUAGAUAUUAGGAAAAACUUUCUAACUAUAAGGCUAGUUAAGUACUGAAAUAGGUUACCAAAAGAGGUUGGGGAAUCCCCGUCAUUGGAAUGUUUUAAGAACAGAAAGAAAAGGAGGACUUGUGGCACCUUAGAGACUAAC